rnacentral:rRNA from 1 species
CCUACGGGAGGCAGCAGUGGGGAAUCUUGGACAAUGGGCGCAAGCCUGAUCCAGCCAUGCCGCGUGAGUGAUGAAGGCCUUAGGGUCGUAAAGCUCUUUCGCCAGAGAUGAUAAUGACAGUAUCUGGUAAAGAAACCCCGGCUAACUCCGUGCCAGCAGCCGCGGUAAUACGGAGGGGGUUAGCGUUGUUCGGAAUUACUGGGCGUAAAGCGCGCGUAGGCGGACCAGAAAGUUGGGGGUGAAAUCCCGGGGCUCAACCCCGGAACUGCCUCCAAAACUCCUGAUCUAGAGUUCGAGAGAGGUGAGUGGAAUUCCGAGUGUAGAGGUGAAAUUCGUAGAUAUUCGGAGGAACACCAGUGGCGAAGGCGGCUCACUGGCUCGAUACUGACGCUGAGGUGCGAAAGUGUGGGGAGCAAACAGGAUUAGAUACCCUGGUAGUCCACACCGUAAACGAUGAAUGCCAGUCGUCGGGUAGCAUGCUAUUCGGUGACACACCUAACGGAUUAAGCAUUCCCGCCUGGGGAGUACGGUCGCAAGAUUAAAACUCAAAGGAAUUGACGG